UGGGGACGUAGCUCAGUUGGGAGAGCGCUUGCAUGGCAUGCAAGAGGUCGGGGGUUCAAGUCCCCUCGUCUCCAUUAU
rnacentral:tRNA from 1 species